UGAACGCUGGCGGCAUGCCUUACACAUGCAAGUCGAACGGCAGCACGGGUGCUUGCACCUGGUGGCGAGUGGCGAACGGGUGAGUAAUACAUCGGAACAUGUCCUGUAGUGGGGGAUAGCCCGGCGAAAGCCGGAUUAAUACCGCAUACGAUCUACGGAUGAAAGCGGGGGACCUUCGGGCCUCGCGCUAUAGGGUUGGCCGAUGGCUGAUUAGCUAGUUGGUGGGGUAAAGGCCUACCAAGGCGACGAUCAGUAGCUGGUCUGAGAGGACGACCAGCCACACUGGGACUGAGACACGGCCCAGACUCCUACGGGAGGCAGCAGUGGGGAAUUUUGGACAAUGGGCGAAAGCCUGAUCCAGCAAUGCCGCGUGUGUGAAGAAGGCCUUCGGGUUGUAAAGCACUUUUGUCCGGAAAGAAAUCCUUGGCUCUAAUACAGUCGGGGGAUGACGGUACCGGAAGAAUAAGCACCGGCUAACUACGUGCCAGCAGCCGCGGUAAUACGUAGGGUGCGAGCGUUAAUCGGAAUUACUGGGCGUAAAGCGUGCGCAGGCGGUUUGCUAAGACCGAUGUGAAAUCCCCGGGCUCAACCUGGGAACUGCAUUGGUGACUGGCAGGCUAGAGUAUGGCAGAGGGGGGUAGAAUUCCACGUGUAGCAGUGAAAUGCGUAGAGAUGUGGAGGAAUACCGAUGGCGAAGGCAGCCCCCUGGGCCAAUACUGACGCUCAUGCACGAAAGCGUGGGGGAGCAAACAGGAUUAGAUACCCUGGUAGUCCACGCCCUAAACGAUGUCAACUAGUUGUUGGGGAUUCAUUUCCUUAGUAACGUAGCUAACGCGUGAAGUUGACCGCCUGGGGAGUACGGUCGCAAGAUUAAAACUCAAAGGAAUUGACGGGGACCCGCACAAGCGGUGGAUGAUGUGGAUUAAUUCGAUGCAACGCGAAAAACCUUACCUACCCUUGACAUGGUCGGAAUCCCGCUGAGAGGUGGGAGUGCUCGAAAGAGAACCGGCGCACAGGUGCUGCAUGGCUGUCGUCAGCUCGUGUCGUGAGAUGUUGGGUUAAGUCCCGCAACGAGCGCAACCCUUGUCCUUAGUUGCUACGCAAGAGCACUCUAAGGAGACUGCCGGUGACAAACCGGAGGAAGGUGGGGAUGACGUCAAGUCCUCAUGGCCCUUAUGGGUAGGGCUUCACACGUCAUACAAUGGUCGGAACAGAGGGUUGCCAACCCGCGAGGGGGAGCUAAUCCCAGAAAACCGAUCGUAGUCCGGAUUGCACUCUGCAACUCGAGUGCAUGAAGCUGGAAUCGCUAGUAAUCGCGGAUCAGCAUGCCGCGGUGAAUACGUUCCCGGGUCUUGUACUCACCGC
rnacentral:rRNA from 1 species